GUUAGUGCCUUCAUUCCCAGAUCACUCACAUUGCCCAACUCCUUGUCACAGCAGACAGACUUGAUGUUCGGACAAGAGAUGGGGCUUGCCUAUGGCUCUCUCAGCUGGAAGCUUAACCAACACCUGCAGCUCCAGGUUAUCCUGGACUUAAAAGUUCUCCCCUUCAGUCUCCUGGGGACUCUUUGGGCAACUUAGAAACCUCACCUGCCUCACAAAUGUUGGUACAUCCCCAGUGGACACUGAUCAGCACUGUCCUUGGAACACUGAACCAGAAUGCCAAACUGUACAGCCAUCAGUCCACAAAUCUGAAUAGCUGUAUACAUAAUCUGGGAGAGAGGUUGUCAUCACAUAAAUGGCAAAGGGCAAGAAGAUCGGAGGAAUUCAUUCAUACAGACUGGAUUUGAGCCCUGAACAUACCUGGGAAAGCACCUGGACCUCUUAGAACCUGGAGAUCAACAAGUUGACAUACCUCAAAAGGUUAUGCUGUGAGCACUGAGUGUUAUGUCAUCAGAUUUGAUCAGUAAUGUGGAUUGCUAUCAGUAGCUGACUCUUUCUUGUGGAAUCCUCACCCCUGCCAUCCAUGACCAUCCGUUCAUACAGAAGGAAACUGAACCCAAAGAAAGUGGAAGACCACUUGAGAUGAGACGUGGGUCUUGGAUUCAAACCUAACUUGACCUGACACUGGGAGCAGAGUUUUCAGCCACUAGCCUGCCCCCUGACCCCAGUGAGAAGCAAGAGAAGGCCUGGCCAGAGAUGGCUAUAAUAGACAACCUGCAGGUAUUCAGAGGAGAGUUAGACCUCCUGCAUUGAAUAGAGCUGAGGGUACUUUCUAGGGGAGACAACACUUGUGAUGAAGCCUGGCUUGAUGGCACAUGUCUAUAAUCCCAGCACUUCCAAGAGUAGAGGCAGGAGGAUCAGGGGUUCAAGGUCAGCCUUGGCUAUGUAGGGAGUUUGAGGCCACCCUUGGUUACAUGAGCUAGUACCUCAGAAAUAAAAACAAAACACAAAGCACAAAAUUGUAGUGAACCUUGAAAAAUGGACAGAAUAAAUCAGGUAGGAAUCAAGAAAGGAUGUGUGGCACUGGGGCAAGGAUGUUGGCUAUGGUCUGUUGGGUGUGGGGCGCCCAGAUCAGCACUGAGGAGACAAGGCAGGAGAAACAGGUCAUGUUCAGACUCACACAGACCAAUGUCAACAUGGGCAUUUGUUGAGCUAUUUCAUUCUUAUGCCAAACUAGGGCCAGUCUUGGACUUCCAACUGAAGUUGUUAUC
rnacentral:lncRNA from 1 species